rnacentral:lncRNA from 1 species
UAUACAAGAGAUGCCAAAAUAUCGAUUGUUGUACAUAUUUAUGUAACUUUAUUAUGUUAGAUACAAUCCACAUCAUCUAUUAUCCAUAUCACAUAUAAAUAGGUCUGUAUACGUUUUCAGAAAAAGAUAAUAUGUUAUCUGUUUCGUUUAUUAUUUUUUAAAAUAAAUUUAGUCGGAAUUAUAAAAUAAUUAGACUUCAAAGUUAGUAUUCAAAUAUUAAUCAUUAAGUAUUUAUCACCUGCCCUGCUAAUGGUGUAACCAACUCU